rnacentral:rRNA from 1 species
UCUCUCCUGGAAACGGGUGGUAAUGCCGGAUGCUCCAGUUGAUCGCAUGGUCUUCUGGGAAAGCUUUCGCGGUAUGGGAUGGGGUCGCGUCCUAUCAGCUUGACGGCGGGGUAACGGCCCACCGUGGCUUCGACGGGUAGCCGGCCUGAGAGGGCGACCGGCCACAUUGGGACUGAGAUACGGCCCAGACUCCUACGGGAGGCAGCAGUGGGGAAUAUUGCACAAUGGGCGCAAGCCUGAUGCAGCGACGCCGCGUGAGGGAUGGAGGCCUUCGGGUUGUAAACCUCUUUUAUCGGGGAGCAAGCGAGAGUGAGUUUACCCGUUGAAUAAGCACCGGCUAACUACGUGCCAGCAGCCGCGGUAAUACGUAGGGUGCAAGCGUUAUCCGGAAUUAUUGGGCGUAAAGGGCUCGUAGGCGGUUCGUCGCGUCCGGUGUGAAAGUCCAUCGCUUAACGGUGGAUCCGCGCCGGGUACGGGCGGGCUUGAGUGCGGUAGGGGAGACUGGAAUUCCCGGUGUAACGGUGGAAUGUGUAGAUAUCGGGAAGAACACCAA